rnacentral:lncRNA from 13 species
AUGCCCUCUUCUCAUCCUCCUCUCUCGCUCUCUCUCCCCCGAAAGAUGUGCAUUACCGUGGCUUGUCAUCACCCACGGAACACAGACACAGCAGACAGUCAACUACCAGUCAAGUAUCUCCAGGACAACACACACAGGAGCUGCAACUACAUACCAGUUUGUAAAGUCACACUUUCUCUUCCCUCAAAACACCUUUCACAAUUCAUUGUCAUUCUCCUAACUACCGGUAAUUGCAUGGAGGCUACUGUAGGGCCCCGAUCUGGAAUUCAGUGCCCUCCAGUGUGACUGUUGUCCAUCGCUAUUUCACCUCAAUAAGAAAAUAAAAAGAACUGACACAAAAAGGUUCACGCCCAGACACUAUUACAGACAUAAUAUCCGCCUGGCAAAUACCAUUAAACAAUGACAGUGGCUAACUCGAACAGUGCAUCUGUGCAUCCUAUUUGUUCAUUUCCUUUGACAAUGAAUCUAAGGAAUAAACAUUUUUUCGCAAACUCAACUUUGCGGAAGAUACACAAACAAAAAAAGUAAAACAAUGUGAUGGACGUUUUGUAACGCUUACGUUACGGUUAAGGGGGUCAUGUGUUUUAUCAGCCAUUGUAGCCUAGGCUACUGUUUUAAAUUGCUGCCUUCGAGCUGGGUUAAUCUCAAAACUGGUUCUUCCGUGUUUACAUGGGAGGAUCGCUCCCUUCUACUCAAGGUGAAAGGCUGCUCGGUUGGAUGAGGGACACCUGCAGACUAGUCCUACCGGGGAGAGUUUGAAGCACUGGUAGUGCCCCUGCAACGGUAGCAUGUGUUUUAUUCCACGAAAUGAUACAUAAUAGACUCGUACUAAGGCACUUUUAACAUUUUGGGGUUAUCAGACUGUAUGGGAAUAUAUUUAUCCUGACAGAUUUGAGAUUCACAGCGCAAGAACAAAACAUCUAAUCCCACACCAACAGUCUAUAUGCACUUUAAAUAUAUAAUUUAUAUUUUUGGAACAUUUACAUUAGGCAACGUGAAUGUAUAUAGCUAUGAAGGCUAUGGUUUACGCUACUUGCUAGACUCGACCUCGUCCCCGAUUAAGUUAUUGGCUAGGCUACGUCAUUUUCAUGAAAUUAUUUGUCAUGGGUGCCUAUUCUAUUCGUUUCCGAAUCGCUAUAACUUUUACCAUUUGGAUACCUUUCCCCAAGCAAUUGCGUUUUGAAUCAGUCGUUCAAACAUUCAUUUCUCCAGUAAUAUGUGUGUUGUGUCCAGAUACAAGGUUUUAAAGCGUGUAUGACAUUUAGCCCUCAGUUGUUGAUGCCAUCAUAACGUUCCUCAAAGCAUAAUGCAUGGCUGCUAUUCAUAAGAGGUCGAUCACAGCACAAAAUGGCAGGUCUCACCGGCUCUUCCAUCUCACAAGUUUUGACACAUGGCAUGCAGCGGAUAACUUUGAUCCUAUUUCUCCAACAAUCUGCACUCAGGUUAGCUGAAAUUCUAAGCAAAACCCCUAGGGAUGUGAUGAGAAAGUUUUCGAAGCAGAUUGGAUGGGGGGGGGGGCAGUUAAUACUUCCUUAAAAGUACUCGCAAAUAUCUGCCUGUGUUAUGCAUGUCAUGUGUCCAAUACGUUAAUGCACACUCCGUUGUCUAUCUUAAACGUCUGGAAUAUACAACUUUUAUAUGUGACUAUUAUGAAAUCGUUGAAAUAUAAAAGAGAUAAGAGUAGGUUCUGAGUCGCUGUACAAUGUCUUCCUAUGCAUUCAUUAUGUAGACUACACGUUUCCCCCUGACAACCCCGCAUGCUAACGUCACCGCUAUGGAUAUUUAAUUAUACUGUAUUUUUUAAUCACGUCGAGAAACAGGCCCCACUGAGAUGAUACAAUAGAAAAUAGCAAUUGUUUAGAUUGACUUUCAAAAGCGAAACGCCUUCGGGUUACCAUUCCAAACCCCCUAAACCCAUGCGUAAGCUUCGCACUUCUUACCUUUAAAUUUGGAGUAGCGCGAAGAAACUCCUGUCUGUAAACGAUGCCUUGGUGAGAGAUUGUGUUCAUUGAAUAAUGAGGCAUGUCCAUUUCAUUGACCAGAUCAUUUUCUUUCGCUGAAGGGGGAAAAGUGCGCUUCGGACCUGUUACGAUUGUCCAAUACAGAAUUCUCUCUCUAACUGUUCCGCACGUAUCCUGAGUAAAAAAAAAAUAGCGUUUUAUUUCAUUCGGUCAGUUUUUUUUCCCAGGCCAAACGUGUUCAUUGAUACUAAUUACUCAGCAUCACAACACAUUUCCAUAUUUCAGCUUGGACUCUCCCUAUCUGGUAGGUGAAAUGCAUUGUACCGUUAAAAAAAGCAGUCCAUUGUCGUCCGCCGCGUUAUUCACAACAAAUAGAUAUAGGUCUUGCGGCAUUGCUGGAGCUAAGAGCGUAACCCAAGAUAAAAUAACACCGUAAAUAAUAAUACUCUAAUCGUAGGCUACAUGUCCCCCGUGUUACGGUAAAAAAAGAGAAAGGAUUCCCAACCUCGCAGCUUGUUUCUGACCUUGAGCUCCCGUAAACACUCUUAUUAAAAUAUGUCUAUUCUCCUCAGAACCCAUUCACAUUGUCAGUCUUGUUACGUUGACACCGUGUAUAAUUGGCUUUGAUACAUGUAGUCCGGGACCAUGCGGUGAAGACAUAACAACUGAACACAUAUAAUGUUGUAAAAGUACACGUUCUUACCUUUUCAGUUAACUAUUUCAAGUAUUUUUCUUCCCCCCAAAAAACUCCAGGGUAAAUCGGUGUAGUCUGCGCGUCCUCAGCAUCAGUCACAGCUCUAGUGCUUAAGAGAAGUAAUCAGUGAUAAAAUGACGUUCAUCUCACUGUAACCUUGUGGCGUAUUUAAUUUAAAUAAGCCAGUUAUGUUGCCAAUCGCAUGCAUACAAACGCAAACUAGUCCUGAGGGAGGCUUUUUUUUUUCAGGUGCCCUGACGAACCGGGUUUAUUCUAGCACCAUGCACGGGAGCGCUUUCUGAAGCCAUAGGCUAGGAAUUAAGCAUAUUUAUUAGUAAAUAUGAUAUUUAAAACAACUCAGCUGUUGAUCAAGGGCACUUCGUACCUUACUCAAACAGAAAGAGAAAAGUCCAAUAUUAAACGCGCUCACUCAACGGUUCCAAGUAACGUGGGAAAAUGAUUUAAAGACCUGUAUUCUUCGUCGAGGACUCUAAACUUUUUUUGGGCAUAACUUUUGCCGUAGGACAGAGAUGCACUGGCCGACCGCUCGUGCUCCUAAAUGUUCGCACCAAGAUGGUUUGAUAUAUGAUGUUUCUAUAGGGGGUGGAAGGAGCUAAAUGUAAUGCAAUUAUAGAUUCAGUGUUCCGGCGUGGACAAAAGCCAUUGCUUAAACAGACUCUUCCUUGUGGGAUUAUAUAAUGAUUAUGGUGUAAUUGUGGGAAAGGUUUGGUAAUAAUAAUAAAAAAUAUAAAAUACUCAUAUGGACGGUUGGUUUUCUGUAAUGUAAGGGUAUGUGACUCUGGGACGAUGAUAAGAGCGUGAAAACGUGGAGAGGUCGACAAAAAAAGGAGGACAGUGAUGCGAUGAUGGUUCGGCCAAACGCAGACGGAUUGAUUAUUCAAAAUGUCCUCGAACCAUGGGACACAUCAUUGCAUUGAUCGAGAUGAUAUCAAAUCCUGUAUAUAAUCAGCCAGAAGUCCCACAACGGACUCCCUGGUCGUAUUUAUACGGGGAGAUAGAACAGCUGUGAGCGUAUGGUCUCCCUUUUCCACUUGUGCCAAGGCGGCGUGUGACUCAAGGAUACUCACACGCAACUGCUCAGUGUGGUAGUAUGACGGUGAACUAAUGUGCUAUGAGCACAUGCCACUCCAUCUGUGUAUGACACUGAUAUAUAUGUACGUUGGUGUUUUACAGCUUGAUUCAAGUGUGAGUGUAGGGCCUACAAUGAGCCUAAUUGGGGUGGAUUAUAUCUUUAUUGGAUCUUGGACAUUUUGCGAUUUAAAAUUGAACUUUAAAUCAGAGUAAAAAAGAGAUAGCUGGUAGUUAUUGGCUUUAUGGCUAUAAUGCUGUAUGUUUAUUUGUAACUACAAUGUUUGAUCGUGUUAGCCUACAUAGUUGUAACUUUCUAUUUUCUUGUAUUCUUCAUUUAUAGUGUUAUCUUUUUUUUCAGUGGAAAAUUAAUAGAUAAUCCAGAAAGGAAAGGACGCGGCUGUGCUUUCUUUUCCUUCCAGACAAAACAUAUUUUUUUAAAGAUAGUCCACAUUCAUUAUUCACUAUGAAAAUCGGAUUCUCAUGCUGCCCCUUAAACGGUUAGGAAUCCAGCAUGCAUUUUCCAGUUUGAUGCAUAUGAAAUUCUUUUUUGAACAAAUUCCAAAAUAAAAGUUUGUCUCUAAAGAAAUUAGCAUAACCAUCCCAUCAAUAAUAUCGCUAUCUCUAUGGGAAUGAUAGCGAGAGCAGUAGGGGUGUUCCUUUUCUCAAUUCUUCAUGGAUCAACAGCGCGUUCUCGGUUUCUUUUGAACUUGUUAUAGCAAGUCAAGUGAUUCUUUAUCGGUGACAGGCUUGACAAUGCGAUGGGGAUGUGAAAGCAGGUCAAAAGGAAGUUGCCAUAUGGAUUUAAACAUGCACAUUUCGAACACUAUAGCACGAGUACGUCCC